ACAGCCAGCCACCCAUGGUUCUAUGUUGGACCCAGCCGGCCCCUAGUCUGUUUUAGUUUCUAAGUCAUACCCAUGCCCACCCUGUGCCUCGUCCAGUUUCUAAAUUGGGCCCAAUCUGACUCAGCCGGUGUCCGGACUCAGUCCGGAGAGAGAAAUGCUCGAGUCAAAUCUGAAACACCUCCCUUGAGAGCUGCAGAGCUAGCAUCCAACAGGGACGUACAGCCUCCAGAGGCAGCGGGAAAGCAGAAGCUCAGGGGGUUCAGCAGCUUGUCCACGGUGUGUUCUUCACUAGACCACGAGCUCCGUGAGGGUGGACACCAAGCCUGUCUCAUCCAUCCCAGGAUCUGCCAUGUCGGUCCCCUUGCCAGGUGGACACCAGACUCAAGAAAUAGCUGUUCAGUGAAUGCAUGUCUCAAAGCUUUUAAGUUUUAAGGAUAAUUCUCCGAGCCAACUGCGUGAUGAUACUGGAAACAUAAGAACUGAACGGGGUCUUCCUGCUCUGUGUCUCCCAAAUCCAGCUGGGAAGCAGGAGGUUUGAAGGACAAGCAUUAUAGAUGGGGACUCUGGGUGAAGAACCUCAGCCAGGGAGCCAGGCCAGGACUGUCAUUGUGAAAUAGGAACAUGUUCAUGGGAGGUGACCCUUUGCUGGAACCCAUCAAUUCCAAUGUGGUCGAUAGCUUUGGAUUGUUAUGCAAUGUGACUAAUUCACCUGUGGAAAAAAUUUAGCUCCAACAGUAGUGCUAUUUUUUGUUUUUCAUUAAAACCCUGAUAUCCUGACUAAUCCCAACUGGACUGUGUCCAGACUGUACCAUUUCUGUAACAUUAGAAAAUAACCUGUAACCACACCAGCAAAGCCACCCCUUAAAGGACCAAUGGGAACCGGAGGAAUCUAGAGCCCCCUCACCACACGCACACACACAAAAAAUGACUAGGGAAAUAAUUUGGCCUGAAUUGUUGUUUAAUGUAAUCGAAUUAGAUCUCCAUAUCCGAAUAGGCUUGGCCUUCUGAGUGUGUGUCAUUUAGUCUCUCUAAAUCAGUCACUCACUUGAGUGCCUACUAUCUAGAACCCUAGGGGCUGGUAAUCAAAGUGAAGUAACUGUUUCUAUCCAGAGAUCUUAUUGUCCAUUUGGAGAGACAGAAUGGAAAAGAGUAAGUGAACCAAAGUGAUAGAGGAAUGACAAUAUAUAACUUUCAAAUUCCAAGCAAUGCAUCCAGCGUUCAUAGAGAGGCAUACCCUGAGGAAUCGGGAGCAACCUCAAGAGCACCAGUCCUACAUUUUCUGCACCUCUGGCAUUUACUAUUGGCUCAUGGGUUCUCAGUUUUUCACAGGACCUCGUUUCAAUGCCGUGUAGGACUGUCUUCUCCAAAUUAGCACACAUAAAUGCCAAAGAGUCAAAACUCUACUAAUUAUCCCAAACUUUGUGACUGUUUUUUGGUACUACUUUACCUAGAAACUCCAUAUUCGUGUUCUCAGAGUUCUUAACAAAUUAUUAAACACUGUUUAAAGAUGGUUUGCAUGA